GGGGAUAAAGGCGGUGCUUCCGGUCGGGGCACCACCGGGGGGCGGGGCCCGAACCGCGACCCCGGCCCAGGCCUGACGCGGACCGCGACCCCGACCUCCGACUGCGACCCUGCCCGCUCCGUGUCCUCCAGUCCACCGCAUGGCCCGGCACGUGUUCCUGACGGGGCCCCCAGGGGUUGGAAAAACAACAUUGAUCCAGAAAGCCAGUGAGGUUUUAAAGUCCUCUGGUGUGUCUGUUGAUGGAUUUUAUACAGAAGAGGUCAGGCAGGGAGGGAGAAGAAUAGGAUUCGAUGUCGUCACGUUGUCCGGCACUCGGGGACCUUUGUCUAGAGUCGGAUUAGAGCCUCCGCCUGGAAAACGUGAAUGCCGAGUUGGGCAGUAUGUGGUUGAUAUAACUUAGUUUGAGCACUUGGCGCUUCCCGUCUUGAAGACUGCAGGCUCCAGCGGCAGCCCCGGGCGGAGAGUGUGUGUCAUCGAUGAGAUUGGGAAGAUGGAGCUCUUCAGUCAGCCUUUCAUCCAGGCAGUUCGUCAGACGCUGUCCACCCCAGGGACUGUAAUUCUUGGCACGAUCCCAGUCCCUAAAGGAAAACCGCUGGCCCUUGUGGAAGAAAUAAGAAACAGAAGUGACGUGCAGGUGUUUAGCGUCACCAAGGAAAACAGAAACCACCUUCUGCCGGAUAUCGUGACGAGCGUGCAGAGCAGCAGGAGGUGAAGACCGGCUGCGUUCCUGCCUUCUGCACGUGGAGAAGUGCCCGGGCUCGAGAGGGGCCUGCCCAGGCGUUAUGCCUUGGGGGUUACGAAACCUUGUGGGCUUUUCCAGAGAAAGCUUGACAGCUGUUUCCCGUAAAAUGUUUAAAGAUCAAACUGGCCUUAAUGCUGGAUUGACUGUGCAAGAUUAACAAUCCAUUGUGGGUUAUUUAUACUUAAGGAUUUCUGUUUAUUUCCUCUUGCAGUCUUGCACAUGAUUUGGGUAAAUUGUGAGAUGAGAAAUGGCCUUCAGAGUAUCAGAAGGAAUUUGCCCCCAUUUGCAGUUUAUAAAUGUGCUCGGGGCAGGGGGAGAAGGGAGCCCACUGCCUAAUCAACUUUGCAUGUCAUGAAAGCUAAAUUCCUCUCCAGGUGCAGCGGCAGUCUCAUGCAACUGGAAGUGAUAAGUUACUUGAUUUUUGAAAAUUGUUAUUUCAAAUGAAAACCAUUUUAGUUCCUUCCCCCGCCCAAUCUCUUAUUGUUUGCUUAUUGCUAAUAAAUAUAUAGAAAUUCUGAUGGUUACAGACACGAGUCCUUGUGUGGGGGAAAUACUCAGUCUUGAGAAAUGUUGGUACCAUCUGCCGUUCGGCACGCCAGACGACGAGAGCUCGGGCUGUGGCUAACUUGGGCACAGUUUUGAAGCUUUCUGUGCCUAGUUUCUUUUCCAGAAAAAGGGGGAAGUGACAGUCAUCUAAGGAGAGUGAUGCACACCAUGGAAGAAAACUGUCACCUUUUGCGAGCGACACUGUGGAGCGUGGGUUCAUCAGGAGUGAUCGUGUAGAAAGAACAGCUCUCCUUUCUCCGCCCGUGGAUCGCAGUGGCAGCUCUUUCUGAUCUCGGGGGGCCCGAGGGAGCGCGAUGCGGCUGAGCCCUGCGGAGGAGUCAGCUUUUCCCGACCGACGUGCAUCACUGCUCGUCCGAGGCACUCUGCUGGGACGCCGUGUCAUCCAGGCCCAUGUCCUCCUGGCUUGCUCUCCUGCAGAUCACCCCGAGGGUCUCUGCCGCGGCCUCAGCCAGACGUCGGUCGCGAGGCUGCUCCUGCUCGGUGGCGUCGCUGGGUUCGCACGGCUCCGAGAAGUGCUGCCAAAGAGAAGGGGCGAAUAGCUGAGCACACACUGAUCGGCCAUUUCUUCUAGUGAGCACCCUCCUUCUUGCGGUAGGAACUAAAGGCUAACACUGCAACAGCCACAAGGUCAGGUUCUGAAGUCAGGUCAAAUGACAGAGGACAGCAGGGUGGCCUUUGAGGACAGGACAGCGUGUGACUCCCUGGCUCUCCUGUGUCGGGGGUGGUGGCCCUGCCUGCUUGUCACCAAUGCUGAGUUCCUGCACAUUUGCCCCCAGCAGUAAUGCAGGGGCCUUUUCAUUCUGGAUACACCGAGUCCCAAGGACUCAGUCGUCCCUUUUGGAGGGAAGGAAGGAGAAUUUGUCAGAAUCCUAGACCUGCACCCCCAGAUUGGGACUUGAACACAGGUUGGGGGGGGAGAAAGGAGUGGUAUUUUGUGCAUUUUUACUAUGAAAAUGGAAAAAAAAGGAGGGACAUUUAUACCUUCAAUUAUCUAACUAAACUCCGGUAAAACUGAAGUAACCAGCUCAUUUCUCUUGGCCGGUGUGGCCUGGGGGCUCCAGGAAGCCCACGAAUCCUCCCUGUCCCUCAUGAAAGGUGACACUCGACUGCUGCACCCCUGUUUCUUUCUAGGCCGGCCC